GGUUAUUUCGUGCAGCCCAGUUAGCCCAGUUUCCCUGGUGUCACAACAGAGACCCGGCAGAAACUCAGUGAUUUAAGUCUGGUGCAGGUCCCCACUCCAAAUCAGAGUGACAACUCUCACUCAGCUCUGACACUGCACAGCUGCCUUAGCCCCUGGGUUUGAUUCUUUCUCUGUAAAAUGGGAUAAUGUGUCAUUCUCACAGAGGUCAUGUUAAAGGAAAUGAUCCAGUUGUAGGCAAAGCGCCUGCAUGGUGCCUGUCCUACAGGAAGUGCUGUGAGCCAGCUAGGCUCCCACAUCCCCAUGCUACGCAAACAAACAGGGCACUAGCUUUAAACUGUUUGUUACCCACGGUGGCAUAGACAUUGCUGCUCAUUUACCAAUUAUCCUGGAGAAGCAUCUGUCCCCACUUUUGUGAACAGGAGCUGCUGCUUAGUGGGUGGGACUAGAGUAUGUGUGAGGCUGGCCAGCUACCACUGCCAGUGAGUCCUCAGAAGGCUCUGACCCGGACCCCUCACCGUCCACACAGACACCAUGAGCCAGGCCGUCUUUAUUCGUAGCCUGAUGGGUUGGGGUGGGGACGUUGAGAAACACAAAGACAAGCACUGUCCCCUGUGACAGGCAAGGCGAGGGUGGGCGGGAUGAUGACCUCGUCCAGGGUGACCUCAGCGGGCGUAGCAGUGGACAACUCCCUUCCGUUUUGCCGGCCAACCUGGUCACCUCUGCAGUGGCCAGCUCCAACUUGGCCUUUGGGCUCUUGCCGCGCUGUCCUCACCACCUGGCUACCAGUCCAAAGUCACUUGUCCCUCAAGCCGGAAAUGGAGCUCACCCAAACCCCAGCCAGCCGAACGCAAUCCUGGGCGGUUCUGUCCCCUGGAUGGAUGGCGCCUGGGAACCAGAUCUCCCUUCCCCGCCCCGCCGGGUCAAGCCCUCCGCUCAAGCGUCCUGGGGCUCGACUUCCCCAUCCGUGCACUGGCGGGCAGGGCGUCGGUGCCGCGGCUCCGUCCGGCUGUGCUUCGGCUUCUCGGGCCAGCACCCACUGAGCCUCAGUUUCCCUGCAGUACCAGGGGUAGGGACUGGAGGCGGCGUGCAGGCUGGGACAAGAAUGUCAACCCGGCCCCUUUCCCCGGCUCUUCCGGCUUCCCGCUCGCUCUGGUGUUGGGGCGAGACCGAGGGCCAGAGACCUACAGGCCAGGCCACCCAGGCCCGCGCGCCCGCGCAGGGUCGCCUCCCCCCCGGAAUCGGAGCGCUCGCGCGGCGCGAGCCGCCCAGGCCGAAAGGGGGCGCUGGAGACCCGCCGCGCAGGCCCGGAGCUCGGCCGCCGGCCCGCGGCUCCCCACUCGACCCGCCGGCUUGGGCGCAAUCCUGCGGCAGUUGGAGACCAGGUUCCUCCUCCUGCCCCCGCUCCACCCUCACAGGGAGGGCAGAUGGCCCCUCCCCGGUGUGGCUCAGGCUGCAUCUGUCCCCUCGACUUGGCCCGGGGCUCAGCGCAGGCUUCAGGGGAGGCUGAAGUGGGGGCGGGCGAUGCCGGUGGCUCUCAGGGUCCCACAGGUCCUGGGAAUGGCCCAGGGCACUGUGCCGCGCACGCCUGCACUCCCUGCUGUCUGGAUUUUUAUUAAGGUAUCUUUAAAACCCUGAAACCUUGUUAUUUACAUCCACAAAUUCUGUGCGGCCAGCGAAUAUUUAGGAGCCUGGGAUUUAGUGUUGGAGCAAGACAGCUGAAAAUCCCUGCCCGGACCUUUCUUUCUAGUGUGGGGAGACAGUAGGAGGGGUCCAGGUUUCCUUCAGUGGAACCUCACUGAGAUCAGCCGGUGCCCAGGCUUUCCACCCUUCUCCUUCUCCCCUGUGGUUGUUUUCUUAGGACCAGCUGCCCACCAGCCCAUCAAAGGCUGAGGGGUCAGUCCUGGCUCUGCCUCAAAGAUCAGCACCUGAGGACAAAAUGCAGGAAGAUGAUGCCCCUGGCACCGCACUCUUCCAGUAUAGAAGGUUGCAAAGAUAUGCAAACGUGUUGUCACUGCCUUGUACCAUCCCCGGGAAGUCUGGGGUGCUUUACCCGAGAAUGACCACCAGAGGACGACAAGAGCCAACCUUCCUGGCCCAGAACCAGACAUGCUGAUGCUAUCCUCUCCACCAAGCUUUGGAAGGUGUGGAGGUGGUGCAGUUGCAGCCACAGUGACCACGGUGCCAGGAGUCUGACACAUUCGCUUUGCUGCAAUGGCCCUAAGGCAAGCCCCUCUUCUUCUGGUUCCUGUUCUCCAGAGUGCAGCAGCACAUCUACACUGUAGACAAUGAAUGGGGGGUUCUUCUAAGACCUUAGCUAACUGGGGCAUUUGCCUGCCUAAAUGUAUUCCAGACCUCCCUGCUGUCCCACACGGGGGACUGAUUCCUCCGCCAGGUGCUCUCGACUUUGGGUCUUGCCUCAUCAGGUCUCCAAGCUGUAGUCACAGUACCUGAUCAGGCCUCUCCUGCCCCUUCCCCAUCUUCCUCCCUGGAAACUUAUUCAAAAGAACUUCAUUCACCCCAUGUCUGGGAGAGAGAGGCACUGGAAUUUCAGCACAAUAUACAUUUUACACUGGCAA